rnacentral:rRNA from 1 species
AACGAACGCUGGCGGCAUGCCUAACACAUGCAAGUCGAACGAGACCUUCGGGUCUAGUGGCGCACGGGUGCGUAACGCGUGGGAAUCUGCCCUUUGCUUCGGAAUAACAGUUAGAAAUGACUGGUAAUACCGGAUGAUGUCUUCGGACCAAAGAUUUAUCGGCAAAGGAUGAGCCCGCGUAGGAUUAGGUAGUUGGUGGGGUAAAGGCCUACCAAGCCGACGAUCCUUAGCUGGUCUGAGAGGAUGAUCAGCCACACUGGGACUGAGACACGGCCCAGACUCCUACGGGAGGCAGCAGUGGGGAAUAUUGGACAAUGGGCGAAAGCCUGAUCCAGCAAUGCCGCGUGAGUGAUGAAGGCCUUCGGGUCGUAAAGCUCUUUUACCAGGGAUGAUAAUGACAGUACCUGGAGAAUAAGCUCCGGCUAACUCCGUGCCAGCAGCCGCAGUAACAC